UUAAAUUGAGAGUUUGAUCCUGGCUCAGGAUGAACGCUGGCGGCGUGCUUAACACAUGCAAGUCGAGCGAUGAAGUUUCCUUUGGGAAACGGAUUAGCGGCGGACGGGUGAGUAACACGUGGGUAACCUGCCUCAUAGAGUGGAAUAGCCUUCCGAAAGGAAGAUUAAUACCGCAUAAUGUUGAAAGAUGGCAUCAUCAUUCAACCAAAGGAGCAAUCCGCUAUGAGAUGGACCCGCGGCGCAUUAGCUAGUUGGUGGGGUAACGGCCUACCAAGGCGACGAUGCGUAGCCGACCUGAGAGGGUGAUCGGCCACAUUGGGACUGAGACACGGCCCAGACUCCUACGGGAGGCAGCAGUGGGGAAUAUUGCACAAUGGGGGA
rnacentral:rRNA from 1 species